CCUUCUGAUAGCUCAGCUGGUAGAGCGGAGGACUGUAGAUCCUUAGGUCGCUGGUUCAAUUCCGGCUCGAAGGA